rnacentral:misc_RNA from 1 species
GAUGAAGAACGCAGCGAAAUGCGAUAAGUAAUGUGAAUUGCAGAAUUCAGUGAAUCAUCGAAUCUUUGAACGCACCUUGCGCCCUUUGGCCAUUCCGAAGGGCAUGCCUGUUUGAGUAUCAUGAACACCUCAACUCCUCAUGGUCUUCUAUGAUGAGCUUGGACUUUGGGGGCUUGCUGGCCCAUUUGGUCAGCUCCUCUCAAAUGAAUCAGCCUACCAGUGUUUGGUGGCACCACAGGUGUGAUAACAAUCUACGCUUGAGGUUUUCUACCAGGCAACCUUCAGUAAUUGGGGUUCACUGGGGCUCACAAAUGUCUUUCUUCAGUGAGGACAGCUCUUUGAAUGUUUGAUCUCAAAUCAGGUAGGACUACCCGCUGAACUUAAGCAUAUCAAUAAGCGGAGGA